rnacentral:rRNA from 1 species
ACACAUGCAAGUCGAGGGGCAGCAUGAACUUAGCUUGCUAAGUUUGAUGGCGACCGGCGCACGGGUGAGUAACACGUAUCCAACCUGCCGAUGACUCGGGGAUAGCCUUUCGAAAGAAAGAUUAAUACCCGAUGGCAUAGUUCUUCCGCAUGGUAGAACUAUUAAAGAAUUUCGGUCAUCGAUGGGGAUGCGUUCCAUUAGGUAGUAGGCGGGGUAACGGCCCACCUAGCCUACGAUGGAUAGGGGUUCUGAGAGGAAGGUCCCCCACAUUGGAACUGAGACACGGUCCAAACUCCUACGGGAGGCAGCAGUGAGGAAUAUUGGUCAAUGGACGAGAGUCUGAACCAGCCAAGUAGCGUGAAGGAUGAAGGUCCUACGGAUUGUAAACUUCUUUUAUAAGGGAAUAAAACCUCCCACGUGUGGGAGCUUGUAUGUACCUUAUGAAUAAGCAUCGGCUAACUCCGUGCCAGCAGCCGCGGUAAUACGGAGGAUGCGAGCGUUAUCCGGAUUUAUUGGGUUUAAAGGGAG